rnacentral:lncRNA from 13 species
CCUGGCUGCCCUGUGAUCACGAGCUGGUGACCUGUAGUCACUACCAUCCUGUCCUUCUGAUCUCCUCUUGGGUCCUGCCUCUGCACAGCCAGCAGGCAGGCUCAGGCUGGGAUCUGCCAUAUGGACCCUGAUGGGGAGGCUUUCUUACACUUUCCAUGAAACUCUCCAGCUGAUAGAAGAAGUGAACACCCCCAGCUGGGGCCACAUUCUCAAGUGGUCUGUGAAAGUUUUGCAAGGUUGGUGGUUCAUCUAAAGAUUCAUAAUUUAGAAAUGGAACUCUUGAUAUUUAGGGAGAAUUUUCACAUACUCCUGAAGAGCUCCUCCUUCUCCAGGGUUGUGUCAAAGUCCUGUUUCCAGAAGCCCCUGGUCAGCAGUCCUCUCAGCUUCCCCGAUCACCCAGUGUCCAGCCUGCAUGGGUCCUUCAGUCCUGGUGGCCAUGACACUGAGCGUCACCUCUCAGGAGUUUCCCUCUUCACACAAGAUGGAAGGGAAUUUAACUUCAGGCCACUGUUUCCCACUGUGUCUUAGUUUAUUUUGCCUGCCGUAAAGAAACUACCACAAACAGUAUAAUUUUAAAACAAUAGAAAUUUAUUUUGAAUGGUUUGGAGGCUGGGAAGUCCAUAUCAAGGUGGAUUAGGUUUCUGGUGAGUCAGCUCUCUGGUUCAUUGUGAGCAUCUCUUGGCCAACAAUGUAUUCUGUGUCCUCCCAUGGUGGAGGGGGCGAGGCAGCCCUCUGGCGCCUCUUCUAUAAAGGCACUAAUUCCAUCCAUGAGGCUCCGCCCUGGUGACAUAAUCGUCUCCCCAAACCCCCACUUCUUCAUACCAUCCCUUGGAGUUAGGAUUUCAACAUAUGAAUCUUGAGGGGACACUAACUUUCAGGUCACAGCAUUUGGACUUAUGCCCUGGCCCCGCCCCGCCCCUCUAGUUCUUGGGCCGUCGGACCCAGACUGAGUCACACCACUGACACUCUUGGUUCUGUGGCUUGCAGAUCGCAAACUGUGGUACUUCUUGGUCUCCAUAACCACAUGAGCCCAUUCCUAUAAUAAAACUCUUCUCACAUAUACCUGUACA